AGAAUCCUCACCAAGCCACCAGCAGCUAAAGGGGGCCGGCUCGGCUGCCACAGCUCAAACGGCACUCCCACAAGCAACAACAACCUCCUCUCCUGCAUAUCCCUUCCAUCACCAUCUUUGCAUAUCAUCUCUACAGAUUGGAAGAAGGGAAGUGAAGCAGAGAUUGGGAAGAGCAGGUUUGGUCAAGAAGGAAGAACAGAGUGGGAGUUUCAGGAGAAGCUGAGAGGACAACACUGA
rnacentral:lncRNA from 1 species